rnacentral:lncRNA from 1 species
AGAACUGCAGAUAGUACAGCUUUCACAGAAGCAAUGGGAUGUCUGAACACAAGUGGCUGACUUGGGAGUGACUUUAUGAAGCACUUUUUUGCCUUCCUUAGGCAGGAAAAAAUUGGAAUUCUGCACCUGCAUCAGAAAAGGACCAGACUAAUUCUGCCACCCAGUAGCAAGAAACUCACACAGCUAGCUGGUCUGAAAUUGAAUCAUAAUAAAUGUGCCAACCAGAGGACAAAGGUAGCUGAAGACAUCGAGCCAUGCCUGUUACACAGAAGCUGUUGAAGUGUUGUGAGAUCUCCAAGGUUCAGCUGUGCUGAAAAUCAGAAAAUGACUCAGGAAGAGUUCCCAUACCACAUGAUGCAGUCCUAAACUGAGUUUUAAAGCUAUCAACAAGCAUUUUUUAAGUGCCUAAAUGAACAGAAAUCUACUAUAACUGAGAAAUUGAUGAAGGUAAUUUUGAAAAUACAUGUUUUUUAUUUAUGCAUUUAAAUACAGUAUGCUGUUCCUGGAACCAAUGAUAUAAAGGGUUAUUUGUUGUUGUUUUUUUCACAUUAAAACUGUUUCUUGGCAUCCAUUCAACAUUUCAAGAGUAAGAAAAUAUAUUUGUGAUUGAAACAUCCUCAAACAGACAAUAGUGCAGACAGUACUCUUGCCUCCCAAGGCCCUGAGUAAGUUAUG